rnacentral:rRNA from 1 species
AUUGAACGCUGGCGGCAGGCUUAACACAUGCAAGUCGAGCGGGGGAAGGUAGCUUGCUACCGGACCUAGCGGCGGACGGGUGAGUAAUGCUUAGGAAUCUGCCUAUUAGUGGGGGACAACAUCUCGAAAGGGAUGCUAAUACCGCAUACGUCCUACGGGAGAAAGCAGGGGAUCUUCGGACCUUGCGCUAAUAGAUGAGCCUAAGUCGGGUUAGCUAGUUGGUGGGGUAAAGGCCUACCAAGGCGACGAUCUGUAGAGGGUCUGAGAGGAUGAUCCGCCACACUGGGACUGAGACACGGCCCAGACUCCUACGGGAGGCAGAAGUGGGGAAUAUUGGACAAUGGGGGGAACCCUGAUCCAGCCAUGCCGCGUGUGUGGAGAAGGCCUUAUGGUUGUAAAGCACUUUAAGCGAGGAGGAGGCUACUCUAGUUAAUACCUAGGGAUAGUGGACGUUACUCGCAGAAUAAGCACCGGCUAACUCUGUGCCAGCCGCCGCAGUAA